GGGCGCGGCGGCCGUCGGCUUCGUCAGGGUUAUUCUUGGCGGCGGCGCGCGGCCAUGGCGCGGAAGCCGAACCACCGGCUGCUGCUGCUGUCGCUGCUGCUGCUCUGCCGGGCCCCGGUGUGCAGCUCCGGCCCUCUGCCCCUGAUCCUCAACACUUGGCCUUUCAGGAAUGCAGCCGUAGCAGCGUGGAGGACGUUAGCAUCUGGAGGGUCUGCGCUGGACGCGGUUGAGAGCGGCUGUGCGGCGUGUGAACAGGAGCAGUGUGACGGCACCGUGGGCUUUGGCGGCAGCCCCGACGAGUCUGGAGAGACCACCCUGGAUGCCAUGAUCAUGGACGGUACUACCAUGAACGUAGGAGCAGUGGGAGAUCUUAGACGAAUUAAAAACGCCAUCGGGGUAGCACGAAAAGUACUGGAACACACGACACACACACUGUUAGCAGGAGAGUCAGCCACCAAGUUUGCCGAAAGCAUGGGCUUUAUCAACGAGGAUUUAUCUACCAAUGCUUCGUGUGCUCUUCAUUCAGAUUGGCUGGCCUGGAAUUGCCAGCCAAAUUACUGGAGGAAUGUUAUACCAGAUGCUUCAAAAUACUGUGGACCCUACAAACCACCUAGUAUCUUAAAGCGAGAUGGUUCUACUUACAAAGAAACAGGAGAUAGUUACGGUCAUGAUACUAUUGGCAUGGUUGUCAUCCAUAAGAUGGGAAAUAUUGCUGCUGGUACAUCUACAAAUGGUAUAAAAUUCAAAAUACCUGGUCGAAUAGGAGACUCGCCAAUACCUGGAUCUGGGGCCUACGCCGACGACACUGCAGGGGCUGCAGCAGCCACCGGGGACGGCGACAUACUGAUGCGCUUCCUCCCAAGCUACCAAGCUGUAGAAUACAUGAGAAGAGGAGAAGAUCCCACCACAGCGUGCCGGAAAGUGAUUUCAAGAAUCCAGAAGUAUUUCCCCAACUUCUUUGGGGCUGUGGUAUGUGCUAACGUGACUGGAAGUUAUGGUAAGUUUUAUCUGAAAUUCAUAUUUAUGUGAACCUGCAAAUGUUGAUGAGGACAGUGACUUUAAAACGCUGUUGGGUAUUUUAAUCCUCUGUGAUAGAAACAGGGACUGUACUGAGUAGGCAAUGGAUAAAUGUUAAUUGUUGUGUCAAGACCCCCAGAGUGUUAGAAGUGUACCUGAAAGUCUCCUCUGUUGACUGGCGGUGGUUAGGAUCCAGUCUUUGGCUGUUCGGUCUUACCCUUGACGUCCGUCCUAAGGAAAGUUUAGCUUCGGCUCGAGUAUAUGCUGAGAUGGGCUAACGUAGUCAGAUGUUUUUAUUCAUUAGAAGUACGUAGGGAUAAACGAUCUUCCCCACUUCUCUGUUCAUUAUUUAAAGGUCUCAGUCAUUUAGAUCUCAGGGCCCCCAGGUACAAAAUGUAUUACCAAUUAGUAAACUAAAGGCGUUAGCAGAAUUAUUUUCGCACUGUAUUUGAGGCAUGUCUUUUGCUUCAUUUACUUUCCAUAUGAGCCCAUCACAGUUUCAAAGCAUUUCAAGAUCAACCAGUGCCGCUCCUCAUUGGUGAGGUUUCAGACGGGGAAGAUACACAGCCUAGUGAUCAAUACAGCUCAUUAGGAUAUGAAAACAUUAAAAUAACAGUAGCAAUGACCGCAUAUGUAUAGGAGCAAAAAAUCAGCCUAUAUUCUGAGGUUCAAAGAGAUGGCUUUCCCACUGCCUUUCUGUCCCCUCAUGGACUGUCAGCUAGUCUGCACUAAGGUGGACACACAGCCCACUUCCGUGUGGCCCGACUGACAGCAGGUACACAACAGCCAGUGUGGCGGUGGGGAAGCAAUGUCUGUAUUGGUUGUAAAUGACAUGUGCAUUCUAUAUUUAACCAAACAACUUUUUCUCUUGGCCCCAGGUGCUGCCUGCAAUAAACUUUCAACAUUUACUCAGUUUCAUUUCAUGGUUUACAAUCCUCUAAAAAGUGAGCCAACUGAGGAAAAAGUAGACUGCAUCUAAUCCAUCUUUUCUGUCCACAUCUCUACUUAAAGAAGAAAGAAACAGAGGCUGAAAAGGCUGCUCACUGUCAUCGUAUAACGUGCCUCAUGUAUUCUAAAAUUCUUUGUGUAAAAUAAGCACAAAAAUUUUAUGCUAAAAGCAUUUUCACUUUCUGUAUCUGAAAAAUUUUUAUUAUCUGUUUUUCUUUAAGCUUUGUAUAUCCCCUGAAAAUAUUUGUAUGUAUUUUGUAUAUGUUUAAAUUUUGAGUGAUAUUUGGAUUUCUGCUCAGUGUUUCAAGAAAUUACUACUUUGGGGAUUUAUUUCCAUAAAUAAAUGAUACAGUAAAGUGAUAUAGUAAAGCCACAAGAAAUAAUCUAUAUUUGGAUACUUAAAAUAAUUAGAGUAGCCAAGGAUUUUAGACCCAAAGAAAAAGGUAACAGUGAGUCACAGCAUGGUAAGUCCUGACCGAAUCUCAGUACCUUAGAGUAAUAUGUCUCUUAUCGCUGAUUAUCAGUUGUACGUAAUGCUCUCUUCUAGCUUGAAGAGGAAAGAAUGCUGUUCAUCAUAAAGGUGUGUUUUGUUUAGCACGUAUUAGAAAAUGUGGGCCGUCUUCUGACGAGCAACUGUGUUGAUUUUCUUGGGCUUCUUCCUCUGAUGGUGCGCUCUCAAUGUGUGAAGGUUUUUAGCCACCAAGAAAAUCUCUGACCUUUUAGCUACAAAUAUUUAGUACUGAUAAUUUCUUCCGAAAAUGAUUUAGGGAACUUGAUCUGUACUGUGGUUUUACUAAUCUCUUGUGCACAUGUUGGUGGUCUGAAUUAGCAGUGAGUCAGUAACCCUCGUCUGCCUUGUUUUUUCUGAGCGCUCAGUCAGCCGUCUGCGGACUAGACAGGACUGUAAGUGCGCUUUCUCAGGAUCAUCUUUGCUUCAUUACCUUCCUUUUACAUCAGGAGUCAUUAAUAAAACUGUAUGUACAAUAUUGUCCCCCA